AUUGAACGCUGGCGGCAGGCUUAACACAUGCAAGUCGAACGGCAGCACGGACUUCGGUCUGGUGGCGAGUGGCGAACGGGUGAGUAAUGUAUCGGAACGUGCCCAGUCGUGGGGGAUAACGUAGUGAAAAUUACGCUAAUACCGCAUACGAUCUAUGGAUGAAAGCGGGGGAUCGCAAGACCUCGCGCGAUUGGAGCGGCCGAUAUCAGAUUAGGUAGUUGGUGGGGUAAAGGCCCACCAAGCCAACGAUCUGUAGCUGGUCUGAGAGGACGACCAGCCACACUGGAACUGAGACACGGUCCAGACUCCUACGGGAGGCAGCAGUGGGGAAUUUUGGACAAUGGGCGAAAGCCUGAUCCAGCCAUUCCGCGUGCAGGAUGAAGGCCCUCGGGUUGUAAACUGCUUUUGUACAGAACGAAAAGGUUUCUACUAAUACUAGGAGCUCAUGACGGUACUGUAAGAAUAAGCACCGGCUAACUACGUGCCAGCCGCCGCCGUAA
rnacentral:rRNA from 1 species